rnacentral:lncRNA from 1 species
CCUCUGUAGCAUAUGCCAGAGGCAACGGUUCCCUUUCUUGACGGAUCUGGAUCUAGAGUCAGAUUAAGCCCGUCAUUUUGAUUUUCCUGUCACUGAACGAGCUAAGGCAAAUUGCUUCGCUGUCCUGUGUCCCAUUUCUUCACCUGCCCUCUUGUACUCCUUUUCUCGGAAGACUGUGCAGAAAAUGAAAGGACUGUGCUAGCCUAUAAGCCACCUUUGUGCAAAAAUAGAGUAAAAAAGUCCCUUAUCUAAGCAGACGUUUCUAGAUGGGUGGCUGGCUUGGUGCAUGGAUAGAGCCUCUAUGAAAAGCAGAACCCAGUGCUGCUUCUUCAGGGAAGACGCAACUCCAGCCCAGAGGACACGUGUGUUGAGCAGAACAAUGGCUGGAUUUCAGCCCCUCCUUUCUUCUGGCUUGGAGCCUUGGACAGGGAACAACUUGCUCACAUUGUCUGGUUCUGCACAGAAGGAGCUUGGAAGUCACCACUCUGUCCUAAGCUGAACCGACUUAAAAAUCAACGACUCUUCUUGGAUCCCUAAGAGAGGGGAGAACAUGGGGCAAACUGCUGCCCCCGAGACUGAAGAGGCCAAGCGGUGCGCACAGGGAGUCGUGGCACACUGGAGUGGAGACUCUCCAGCAGCAACCAUCACGGGGACCAGCGCCGAGGUGGGAACACCUGAACUGACGAAUUGCUGAAAGCUGGGUGCAGAAAACUCUGAGACUUAAAUACUCCCGGGGGCUCAGUCAUAGGACCCCCCAGUAUAGUGAGAUUUCCUUCCAGGAGCUCAAACCACAGUAAAUAUUCCAGAUAGCUACAGUAAACAUUGGAGAUUCCAAGAAAUAUUGGAAAUAUUGGAGAAAAAUCCCCUUGGGCUUCUGUCAGGGGAGGGGACAAGGAACCAAUUUCAAAUAUGCCAGAGCACUCUGCUCUUCUUAACGAGGCCUGCCCUCAUUGUCAACUUGUUAGCCAGAGCCUAAUCCACUUUAGUACUUAAGUGACCUAGGGAUAGGCAACACUCAACUUCAGCCCACUCCAGCCUUGCAUGUUGGAGAAGGGAGCUAGCCAACUCCAGCCCACUCGAGACAUCCUGUUCCAUCUAAAGGGGGAGAAAAAAACCCAGAAGCAC